CCUACGGGACGCAGCAGUGAGGAAUAUUGGUCAAUGGCCGGAAGGCUGAACCAGCCAAGUCGCGUGAGGGAAUAAGGCCCUAUGGGUCGUAAACCUCUUUUGUCAGGGAGCAAAGGCGUCCACGUGUGGACGAGAGGAGAGUACCUGAAGAAAAAGCAUCGGCUAACUCCGUGCCAGCAGCCGCGGUAAUACGGAGGAUGCGAGCGUUAUCCGGAUUUAUUGGGUUUAAAGGGUGCGCAGGCGGAGGUGCAAGUCAGCGGUCAAAUUGCGGGGCUCAACCCCGUACUGCCGUUGAAACUGCAUCC
rnacentral:rRNA from 1 species